rnacentral:rRNA from 1 species
CUACCAUGCAGUCGAGCGGCAGCGACAACAUUGAACCUUCGGGGGAUUUGUUGGGCGGCGCGUGGCGGACGGGUGAGUAAUGCCUGGGAAAUUGCCCUGAUGUGGGGGAUAACCAUUGGAAACGAUGGCUAAUACCGCAUGAUAGCUUCGGCUCAAAGAGGGGGACCUUCGGGCCUCUCGCGUCAGGAUAUGCCCAGGUGGGAUUAGCUAGUUGGUGAGGUAAGGGCUCACCAAGGCGACGAUCCCUAGCUGGUCUGAGAGGAUGAUCAGCCACACUGGAACUGAGACACGGUCCAGACUCCUACGGGAGGCAGCAGUGGGGAAUAUUGCACAAUGGGCGCAAGCCUGAUGCAGCCAUGCCGCGUGUAUGAAGAAGGCCUUCGGGUUGUAAAGUACUUUCAGCAGUGAGGAAGGAGGUAUCGUUAAUAGCGGUAUCUUUUGACGUUAGCUGCAGAAGAAGCACCGGCUAACUCCGUGCCAGCAGCCGCGGUAAUACGGAGGGUGCGAGCGUUAAUCGGAAUUACUGGGCGUAAAGCGCAUGCAGGUGGUUUGUUAAGUCAGAUGUGAAAGCCCGGGGCUCAACCUCGGAAUUGCAUUUGAAACUGGCAGGCUAGAGUACUGUAGAGGGGGGUAGAAUUUCAGGUGUAGCGGUGAAAUGCGUAGAGAUCUGAAGGAAUACCGGUGGCGAAGGCGGCCCCCUGGACAGAUACUGACACUCAGAUGCGAAAGCGGUGGGGGAGCAAACAGGAUUAGAUACCCUGGUAGUCCACGCCGUAAACGAUUGUCUACUUUGGAGGUUGUGGCCCUUGGAGCCGUGGCCUUUCCGGA